UGUGGUGCAGGGUGGGGCAUAGAGGGGACGGGACUUGUGACUUUAAAAGCGGUUUUUUUUCUGAAAACAGCACUUAGUAGUAGCGGGAAUUCUUUUAUUGUGGAAAAACAACCAAAGAAACUGCCUAACCUUGAAGUAAAACAUAUCUGUAAUCAAGGAGAAACAGAUGACAUGCAGAAAGAGGAAACAACGCGCGUGUCCCGAUGCUGACAUUAAAAAUGUCACUUAGGGUUUGUAAGUGGCAGGUCAGAAACCGACCAUAGUCACUGCACAGGGUCUCCUGAGCUGUUAGAUUGCUUCCUUAGUCCUAGCAUACACUAUAAUUCAGUUAUAAAAGAUACACUCAAGAAAAGCCAAUGUCGACAGUUAAUAAAUUUCAGUAAAUUUUAAUACUUUUUUUCCCAGUUAAAAAUGUAUAAAUGCUCCACGAAGAGCCGUAAUUGCACCCACGACGUGAACGCCUCGCUCUCCAGGACCGGUACUUAAAAUGCAAAGGGAUAUCUCGCAUUCACAAGCAGAGUCACCUCCGCACGUGGUUGGGGACAGGACGAGGACGGCAGCCACCCACCGGGGAUGAUGCUCAAGGUGAGGCUGCAGACAGAAAGCCGAGGUGGCGGCAUCGCCUUCACUCGCACAACUUCAGGGACACAAGCAGAUUUGUUCAAGUCUGGGGCUAGAGCAGUAAUAUUUUGUACCUUCACGCUGCCUUUCAUCCAGAACUCCAAUGAAAGCGCUGAAUAUUACUCAUGGGGCUUUACAGAUGAGGAAACUAAGACAGCGAUUAAAUGACUUAUCCAAAAUCCUCAGCAAGUCAGCGGCCAGGAGAGGAAUACAGCUCAGAAUCCUCACUCUUAUCCUCUACUCUGAGAAAAGCCAUGCUGCUCCACUUCUCCCGCUCAACGCUCUUUGUGCAUGCAGCAGAAAUACACAGUGCAGAGGAUUUUGCUUCCAGGUACAACUCGUGGCUGCUGAUACGGAUCUAUAAAUCCCUGUUCUUUAUGGCUCAAGUCUUGGCAAGGUACCUCCUUCCCUGGGGACCACCGUGCUGGGAGCAAGCAGGUGAAUCACUGCUGCUUAAUUCGUAUAGCUGGAGGCAGGGUAAUCUCAGCAGAGGGAUGCGGCAGUUGCGCAUCCCCCUGGGAUCUGGAGCCUUCAAUGGGGCUGUUGCUGGCUCUUUUAGCACCUUUUGUGCCCCAUUGUGCCUGUCCUCACAUACACAUCUAGGGUGGUACCAAGGAGUGGUCUUCUCCAAGCAGCGGGUCUGUGAACUGGAGCCCUCUCUUUAGACUGGGAUGUGGGUUGUGUUCUUCUCAUGAUUGCCCAGCCCAGAUCCCGCGGAUGGUUGGUGGCUCCCAUCACGAUUACUUGGCAGUUGUAAUCGGUGUCCAGCCCGCCCCACAGACUCAUGAACUGAGCUUUCGUCACAGCAGUAGCAUCAUGGUCAGAAAUCAACCAGCUUUGUAAGAGGGAAUCUAUUUCAUCAAGAAAAAUCAUGGGCGGUGGCGCUUAACUAUUGAUCAUUGAAAUCUGAAUAGUAACACCGCACCCCUAACAGCUGCCGUCCCAAAUACAUCCUGGGUGGUGACUGCAAUACAAGCAGCAGCCCAUCCAUGGAUGGCCGCCUUAGAUGUCAAAGAUAAGUUUUUCACGAUUCCCCCAAGGGAGGAAGACAAAGCACAAUUCGGUUUUACAUGGGAAGGGAAACCAUACACCUUUAAUCGGCUUCUUCAUGGGUACCAGAUCUGACCAGGGUAUAAAAUGGGGCCCCACCAAAGGCCCCCUUGGAGUGGUCUUCUCGGAGCAGCGGGUCUGCGAACUGGAGCCCUCCCUUUAGACUGGGACACCGUCUAAGGAGACUUCCCGGGAUUGAGAGCACCUCAUCUCAUCAUUUGGAUGAGUGGUUAUUUACGGGAUAUAUCCUUGAAUGAGUCCUUGCCUAACACAGGACUCAGCCUUGCCAGCCCCAAAUAUCAAUCCAUCUGCAGCUUUUCCCACUCAGCACUACUGACUGAAGAGUUUUGAUUGCAUCCAGUGAAUCACACUUAUCUAUUUCGUGAGUUGCAGACCAUCAUCUAAGUUUCAAAACAAUGAGGGUCUGGGCACACUCAGGGCCUGACUCAGCAAGCCAAAGCACCUGCUUAAUGUCUGUUCUGGGAAGGUUGACUUUUAUUUUCCAUUUUCUGCAGGUUUGAAUGGAAGCUGAUAACAUUUAUUGCUGAGUCAGGCUUUGCAAGUACAUGAAAUUAAAUCUGGAUGAAUGUGAACCUGGUUAUGAAAUGAUUAGGAGAAAAGGGGGCCAAGUUCAGCUGCAAUCUGAGGCACUUUUCCUACUAAGUUCAACAGGGAAUAAAUCUGGAUCUUCGUUUCUGCUUCAGCAGGAGGGAUGCGGCUCCACGGACAGACAGACAGACAGCGCUGGAGCCCGUUUCACCACGGUGCUGCUGCACCGUGUCUCUUGUGCAAUCUGCAUUUGCUCAUCAGCAGGUUCAAUCUGUCAAAAGGGCAUUAAGUCCUGCACCCACACCUUCUUCCUCCCUCGGUGCAUUUUCCAAUUUAUAACAAAUCCUUAUUACUUCAGGGGCAUCUACGGUAUCACUGAUGGCAUCACUUACACCUGCUUGAAGCGAGUGAAACCUGCUGACAUCUCCAAAUGGGAUUUCUACUCCACACAACCCCAGCGUCACCACAAGGUUAUAAGGCAAAGAGAAUCGAGUCUCUGCGUCCUGUCACAUCCAGGAUACAACCUGGUGUGUCCUGGACGCUGCCCAAGCAAUCCAGUGGCUCUUAACAUUGCAGUUUUAUUUUUAAGAAGUUAUGUGUUAUAUAAAUAUUGUUAAAUUACAACAGCAUUUCGCUCCCUUUUUCCUGUACGUGGCAGCAGUGAAAGACUGAAGGGAAAGCGCUGUUAUCCCCAGCAUCUGCAGCAGGAUUGCGAUUCUUCGCCUGGGUUUGCAGCUGAGUUGCAGGGGUUGCACCGAGACUUCUGCAGGCAAAUGAAAAUGAAUCAUAAUCCCUCAGGACUUUUUUUUUUUCCGUGCCAAAAUAGCAAUUGCCCAAUUGGAUAAAUUGUGACGACAAGUUCAGCUGAUGUAAAUAUCUAGCUAAUGCCCAUUUGCUGAUUUAAUGAAAUCCAGAAACAAUUUGCAGUCACGUAAUGAGUUUGGAUUCCUGGCUGAUAGAAUCACAGGACUAGAGAGCAGAAGUCAACUCAGUAACACACAUCAAUGGCACAUUUAAAUGAGAGUGUAUUCGGCACUGUACAGGCUAAUAACACAUUAUUAUUGCUCUAGUCAUUAAAAGUAAAGGUGCUGACUGCAUGAAAA